rnacentral:rRNA from 1 species
AUUGAACGCUGGCGGCAGGCUUAACACAUGCAAGUCGAGUGAGCGGCGGACGGGUGAGUAAUGUCUGGGAAACUGCCUGAUGGGGGGGGAUAACUACUGGAAACGGUAGCUAAUACCGCAUACCAUCAGAUGUGCCCAGAUGGGAUUAGCUAGUGGGUGGGGUAAUGUCUCACCCAGGCGACGAUCCCUAGCUGGUCUGAGAGGAUGACAAGCAACACUGGAACUGGGACACGGUCCAGACUCCGACGGGGGGCAGCAGUGGGGAAAAUUGCACAAUGGGCGCAAGCCUGAUGCAGCCAUGCCGCGUGUAUGAAGAAGGCCUUGGGGUUGUAAAGUACUUUCGGCGGGGAAGCGUUACCCGCAGAAGAAGCACCGGCUAACUCCGUGCCAGCAGCCGCGGUAAUAC